UAUGAAAAUAUUAUUUUUAAAUACGAAUAUUUUUAUAAGAUAAUCAAAUAUAAAGUAUUAAUUUUUACUAUGCAUUGUUUCCCUCAGUGUAGCGAUCUAGAAAAAUAUUACUUA